UGGUUCCGGGCCAUCUCAACAAUUUCUGCCACUUGGACAUGCAAAUGUUGCGAUGUCUUAACCUUCUCAAAUCCAAUUUUCUCAACCUAUGCAACAGGUUACUGGUAGACCUGUAGUAGGAAUGUAUAGUAUGCCUCAGGAACCACCUAUUCCCCAUGAUUUUCAGCGAAAUCUUUCGAUGUCAAAUAACCACAUGCCUGGUUCUGGUGGCCCAAAUUUACCUCUUUCUUCUUCAUAUAAUCAGAUACUAUUAUAAUAGAAGGACAAAAAUCUCUACCUGGGAGAAACCUCAAGAGCUGAUGACAGAAAUGGAG